rfam:Rhodococcus sp. MEB064 contig_36, whole genome shotgun sequence.
CCGGUUCCGGUUCACGCACUCGACAGUCGAGGCGACCCGGCGACC